GUUCGAUUAUCACCAUCCUUUCACAGUGACAGAAAAUAAGUGGCCCAGGAAGUCACCAGCAAUUGCUAGACCUCCAGAGGGGCUGCAGACAGAGGCCAGCCAUGAGCAAUCAACCAAGUCAACGUGACCAAGCUCCAGUAAAAACUCUGGACCCCAAGCAUCGGGAGCAAACACAUCAUGUUUCCUGGUAUCCUGGAUACCACAUCAGGGACAUAAAGCCAAGAAGUGUCUCUGCUGAGCCAACUGCGAACAGUGCCAAUUAAACUCGUCCCACAGACCUGCAGAGCUCUA